GUGAGGCCUCCUGGUUCCUGAUUUGCUACCCCUGUCUGCAGACUUUUCUGUCCGUGCCCCAUUGCGGUUUCCUGCGAAUAGGCCCUCUAUUGGGCUCUGUGGAAAAUUCCGUAUAGAAAAAUUUCUGGAAAGAAGCCACGCAGAAGGGUUUCCCUAUGCAAUUCAAGCUCACCCUGAACUCACUUUGUCACCCAGGCUAGCCUCGAACUCACAGUGAUCCUUCUGUCUCAACCUCCUGAGUGCUGGGAAUACAGGGGUUCCUCCAAUUGUGACAUCUUCAAGAACUGCAAUACAGUGUCACAGUCAAGAUAGUGCCAGGAGAUGCCCUAGGACAUCUCCUGUUGUCUUAUCGUAAUCACGCUUGCUGUUCUUGUCUCCUGUGCCUCCCCUGUCUGUGACCCUAACCCCAACGCUAAUCUGUCCCAUCUGUAGAAUUUUGUCAUUUUAAGACUGCUCCAUAGAUGGAAUAAUAUAUAGGGUAAAUAUGUCACUUCUUGGAUUUGGCCAUUUUCAAUCAGCUUAAUUCUUUGGAGAUUUAUCCAAGUAGCUGCAUGGGUCAACAUCUUGAUCCUUUUUAUUGUUGAGAAGUAUUUCAUAAUGUGGAUGUCUCUGUUCAUCCACAUUCAUCUAUGGAAGGUGGCUUGUUUCCACUGUUUUGCUGUUACUAAUAAAGCUGUUAUGAACAUUUGUGUA